CUACCCGGCAUCCUAGUAGCGGCGAGUGAGCGGGAAGAGCUCAAAUUUGUAAUCUGGCGUCUUUCAGGCGUCCGAGUUGUAAUCUAUAGAAGUGUUUUCUGUGCUGGACCAUGUCCAAGUCCCUUGGAACAGGGUAUCAAAGAGGGUGACAAUCCCGUACUUGAUAUGGCCACCAGUGCUCUGUGAUACACUUUCUACGAGUCGAGUUGUUUGGGAAUGCAGCUCAAAAUGGGUGGUAAAUUCCAUCUAAAGCUAAAUAUUGGCGAGAGACCGAUAGCGAACAAGUACCGUGAGGGAAAGAUGAAAAGCACUUUGGAAAGAGAGUUAAACAGUACGUGAAAUUGUUGAAAGGGAAACGAUUGAAGUCAGUCGUGUUCAUUGGACUCAGCCGGUUCUUCCGGUCUAUUUCCUUUGAACGGGUCAACAUCAGUUUUGUCCGGUGGAUAAAGGCAGAGAGAAAGUGGCUCCCUCGGGAGUGUUAUAGCUUUUUGUCACAUACACUGGAGGAGACUGAGGACUGCAGCUCGCCUUUUGGCCGGGGUUCGCCCACGUUCGAGCUUAGGAUGUUGACAUAAUGGCUUUAAACGACCCGUCUUGAAACACGGACCA
rnacentral:rRNA from 1 species